GACGAACGCUGGCGGCGUGCUUAACACAUGCAAGUCGAACGGAAAGGCCCUGCUUUUGUGGGGUGCUCGAGUGGCGAACGGGUGAGUAACAAGUGAGUAACCUGCCCUUGACUUUGGGAUAACUUCAGGAAACUGGGGCUAAUACCGGAUAGGAGCUCCUGCUGCAUGGUGGGGGUUGGAAAGUUUCGGCGGUUGGGGAUGGACUCGCGGCUUAUCAGCUUGUUGGUGGGGUAGUGGCUUACCAAGGCUUUGACGGGUAGCCGGCCUGAGAGGGUGACCGGCCACAUUGGGACUGAGAUACGGCCCAGACUCCUACGGGAGGCAGCAGUGGGGAAUAUUGCACAAUGGGCGGAAGCCUGAUGCAGCAACGCCGCGUGCGGGAUGAAGGCCUUCGGGUUGUAAACCGCUUUCGCCUGUGACGAAGCGUGAGUGACGGUAAUGGGUAAAGAAGCACCGGCUAACUACGUG
rnacentral:rRNA from 1 species